rnacentral:tRNA from 1 species
UCCGUGGUUCAGUGGUUAAGACUCUGCACUUCCAAUGCAGGGGGCAUGGGUUCGAUCCCUAGUCAUGGAA